CAAAAUAUAGUACAAUCUUUAAGUACUUUUCGUUUACACCGAAAAAAUGACUUCUUAGUCUGUUUUGU
rnacentral:tRNA from 1 species